CAGGAAGGGCCCCUCUUUUCCCCCCCUCCGAUCCUGCUCCAGUGGCACAAUGAAGAAGAAACCGAAUGCCGCACUGGACAUGUACACAAGACUGAAGGGCCCAGUCGCAGAGGAUGGCCGGCUGGAGAUCAUGCAAGACUGGAACUCUAACUGUCACAAGAUGCCAGGGAGGCCUCCAGAGACCUUCCGGACUCACGCUUUCUAAGUUAAAUGGGAAGCAGCUGCUGUUUUGCAGGCCCUUCUUUGUGUGGAACAGGCUAGUUUGUUCAGGAGCUUGGUGUGGGCUUCGCCUCCACAGCCCCCUCCCGGGUUAGGGACUAUUGGUACAUUCAUGAGCACGUCAGAUUCUUAAGUGGGACCGGGUGGUUAGGAGGGUUGGGAAAUCUGUUUCACCUGCUGGGAUGCUGGGGAGAACUAAAUUAAAUACACCAGCGAUGCA